UACGGAGGGUGCGAGCGUUGUCCGGAAUCAUUGGGCGUAAAGGGCGCGUAGGUGGCCCGGUCAGUUCGUGGUGAAAGCGCGGGGCUCAACCCUGCGUCGGCCAUGAAUACUGCCGCGGCUGGAGCACUGUAGAGGCAGGCGGAAUUCCGGGUGUAGGCGGUGGAAUGCGUAGAGAUCCGGAAGAACACCGGUGGCGAAGGCGGCCGCUGGGCAGUUGCUGGACACUGAGGCGCGACAGCGUGGGGAGCAAACAGGG
rnacentral:rRNA from 1 species